UUCCUUUUAGCAAUUACAUUUCUAUUAAGCGAGAAAGGUCAAGAAACAUUUCGACUAUUUUGCAACAACGUCGUAAAAUUAAUGCAAUAUGGCCGAAAUGGCUUCUUAAUUUUUCUUGCUUAAUGGAUGAAGUCACACUGCAUUGCCACGAGUCUCAAUGUGGCUCGAGACUCCUAUUUGACCCGAAGGUGGAGGUGGAUUUUGCGGCCAGAGCAGCCUGAAAGAAAGUGAAAAUAACGACGCUGAACGUGACAUCGGAGCAGCGAGGGAAUGCUGCGUAGCUGACAUUCCGAGCAGCCUGAGAGGAGGAGGAGGCCUAGGAUAGGCAUCGGGCAUCAACGUACCAACACUUCUGAAAAUAUCCACGCUGGAAGGACCAUCAGCUUCGCAUCGAGGGAACACGAUGAACAUCUCGAGCAGCCUGAGAGGAGGUGGAGGCCUAGGAGAGGCAUCGGGCAUCGGCGUACUUAACACUUCUGAAAAUAUCCACGCUGGAAGGACCAUCAGCUUCGCAUCGAGGGAACACGAUGGACAUCUCGAGCAGCCUGAGAGGAGGUGGAGGCCUAGGAGAGGCAUCGGGCAUCGGCGUACUUAACACUUCUGAAAAUAUCCACGCAGGAAGGAGUAUCUUCGCAUCGAGGAAACAGUAACUGACAUCCCGAGCAACCUGAGAGGAGGUGGAGGCCUAGGAGGAGGCAUCAGGCGCCGACGGAGCAACAAGCGAAUCAUCGUAGCGACGUUGCAGAAUAACUCCACUGUUGCGCAUCGGUCGGUGAGUGAUGAUUAAAAUUUCAUAAUUGAGGUAAUGAAUUUAUGACAAUUACGUCAAAUAUAUUGCGGUGUCAAGUUAUCACAAUAAAUUAUUACAUAUGUUACGUUUCAUAGAUUCGUUGUCUUAAAAUGGUAUGACUGGG